UGAGGAGGAUUUUAGGAAAGCUGGAGACUUCAUCAACCUGAUGAAGGUGCUCUACACCUCAACACUCUGUGUGUCCUCCGAAAAGAGUCCCACAUGCGGACAGAUUCUGCCUAUCCUCAAAAAGCUUGAGGCACACCUGGCUGUAAAAGAGGGAGACACAGUCUUUGUGUCAAACCUUAAAUAACAGGUUUGGGCAAACCUAUCCAAGCGCUACCAGGAACUUUCUCCAAGUGGCCACUGCAUUGGAUCCACGCUUUAAACAUAAAUUGGAUGAUGACACCAUCUGGGACCAGAUCCAGAGAAAUCUGAUUGAACAGUCAACAGAGGAAGACGGUUGAGCUGAUGGGGACACCAUGCAGCUGAGAAUGAGGACGAGCAGGAGAGUCAACAGCCUCCCUGCAAACUGCCCAGGAAGACUCCACUGGACGAGCUGUUCGCGGAGGAAGAGGCACAGAACAUAGUGUCACAGUAGAGCUCCAUGUCCAUCAAGAAACGAGUGGAGAGAGAGCUGCAGAUGUACCAGGAAGUUCCACCGGUCCUUAUGUCUGAGGACCCUGCUGCAUGGUGGUGGAACCAACAAAACUUAUCCUUUGCUGUCAAAUCUUGCUUUCUCCUAUUUAUGCGUUCAAACUUCUUCUACACCCAGCGAACGUGUUUUCUCCACAGCAGGAGAUACUAU